rnacentral:rRNA from 1 species
AGAGUUUGAUCCUGGCUCAGGAUGAACGCUGGCGGCGUGCCUAAUACAUGCAAGUCGAGCGAACGGACGAGAAGCUUGCUUCUCUGAUGUUAGCGGCGGACGGGUGAGUAACACGUGGAUAACCUACCUAUAAGACUGGGAUAACUUCGGGAAACCGGAGCUAAUACCGGAUAAUAUUUUGAACCGCAUGGUUCAAAAGUAAAAGACGGUCUUGCUGUCACUUAUAGAUGGAUCCGCGCUGCAUUAGCUAGUUGGUAAGGUAACGGCUUACCAAGGCAACGAUGCAUAGCCGACCUGAGAGGGUGAUCGGCCACACUGGAACUGAGACACGGUCCAGACUCCUACGGGAGGCAGCAGUAGGGAAUCUUCCGCAAUGGGCGAAAGCCUGACGGAGCAACGCCGCGUGAGUGAUGAAGGUCUUCGGAUCGUAAAACUCUGUUAUUAGGGAAGAACAUAUGUGUAAGUAACUGUGCACAUCUUGACGGUACCUAAUCAGAAAGCCACGGCUAACUACGUGCCAGCAGCCGCGGUAAUACGUAGGUGGCAAGCGUUAUCCGGAAUUAUUGGGCGUAAAGCGCGCGUAGGCGGUUUUUUAAGUCUGAUGUGAAAGCCCACGGCUCAACCGUGGAGGGUCAUUGGAAACUGGAAAACUUGAGUGCAGAAGAGGAAAGUGGAAUUCCAUGUGUAGCGGUGAAAUGCGCAGAGAUAUGGAGGAACACCAGUGGCGAAGGCGACUUUCUGGUCUGUAACUGACGCUGAUGUGCGAAAGCGUGGGGAUCAAACAGGAUUAGAUACCCUGGUAGUCCACGCCGUAAACGAUGAGUGCUAAGUGUUAGGGGGUUUCCGCCCCUUAGUGCUGCAGCUAACGCAUUAAGCACUCCGCCUGGGGA